CCUACGGGUGGCAGCAGUCGAGAAUCAUUCACAAUGGGGGAAACCCUGAUGGUGCGACGCCGCGUGGGGGAAUGAAGGCCUUCGGAUUGUAAACCCCUGUCAUGUGGGAGCAAAUUAAAAAGAUAGUACCACAAGAGGAAGAGACGGCUAACUCUGUGCCAGCAGCCGCGGUAAUACAGAGGUCUCAAGCGUUGUUCGGAAUCACUGGGCGUAAAGCGUGCGUAGGCUGUUUCGUAAGUCGUGUGUGAAAGGCGCGGGCUCAACCCGCGGACGGCACAUGAUACUGCGAGACUAGAGUAAGGGAGAGGGAACCGGAAGUCGCGGUGUAGCAGUGAAAUGCGUAGAUAUCGAGAGGAACACUCGUGGCGAAGGCGGGUUCCUGGACAUUAACUGACGCUGAGGCACGAAGGCCAGGGGAGCGAAAGGGAUUAGAUACCCGAGUAGUC
rnacentral:rRNA from 1 species